rnacentral:misc_RNA from 1 species
GUUCUUCCAUCAUGUGUACGUAUAAUCUCCUUAUUAAAAGGACUAUGAAAUACAAAUUCCAAUUCAUUCAUUUUUUCCCCACAUUGUGGGUCUGUAUUUUAUGUGGCGUAAAUUGCCAUUUUGAGUUGAAAAGCCUAUACAUGCACAUGAAGAUAAGUGCUUUAUCAUGCAUUGUAGUUUAGAAGUCUAAUCACCAUAUAUUGUGUUCUGCCUCUUUUUGUUUCCAAAUUCAGUGCUAGGGAGGUAAUGGUAUAAUAUUCAUGUAGUUAUUAGAAAAGUAG